CACCUCACGAGAAUAGAAGAUAUUUAGAAGAAAUUGAAAAGAAUUAGGGAAGAGAUAGAAGAAUAGAGUCACAUUAGAGAGAAUAAAGAGAGGAAAGGAAGGAAAAGAAGAGAGGAAGAUAAGAAGAUAAUAAUAGAUAGAAGCAUGGUAUUUGGUAGACUAUCACUGAUCUGCCAUUGAUGAAGCAUUCCAGUUGUUGCCCACUGAUCAAAGAUCUCUUAUACCAAUUUGUUACAGAAGCCUUGAUUUAGGGUUCUACCUCAGAAAAUAACAAGAAAGUAGAUGAGAGAAUGGAAGAAAUAGGGAUGAGAAGUAGGAGAAAGGAGAUAAGAGAAUAGAAGAAGUAGGGAUGAGAAGUAGAGAGAGAGAGAGAAUUAUAGAGAGAGAAGU
rnacentral:misc_RNA from 1 species